CGGUGGAGCAUGUGGUUUAAUUCGAAGCAACGCGAAGAACCUUACCAGGCCUUGACAUGCAGAAAACUUUCCAGAGAUGGAUUGGUGCCUUCGGAAACUCUGACACAGGUGCUGCAUGGCUGUCGUCAGCUCGUGUCGUGAGAUAUUGGGUUAAGUCCCGUAACGAGCGCAACCCUUGUCCUUAGUUACCAGCACGUUAUGGUGGGCACUCUAAGGAGACUGCCGGUGACAAACCGGAGGAAGGUGGGGAUGACGUCAAGUCAUCAUGGCCCUUACGGCCUGGGCUACACACGUGCUACAAUGGUCGGUACAAAGGGUUGCCAAGCCGCGAGGUGGAGCUAAUCCCAUAAAACCGAUCGUAGUCCGGAUCGCAGUCUGCAACUCGACUGCGUGAAGUCGGAAUCGCUAGUAAUCGUGAAUCAGAAUGUCACGGUGAAUACGUUCCCGGGCCUU
rnacentral:rRNA from 1 species